GAUCCUGGCUCAGGAUGAACGCUGGCGGCGUGCCUAACACAUGCAAGUCGAACGAAGCAAUUGAAGGAAGUUUUCGGAUGGAAUUUAAUUGACUGAGUGGCGGACGGGUGAGUAACGCGUGGAUAACCUGCCUCACACUGGGGGAUAACAGUUAGAAAUGACUGCUAAUACCGCAUAAGCGCACAGUGCCGCAUGGUACGGUGUGAAAAACUCCGGUGGUGUGAGAUGGAUCCGCG
rnacentral:rRNA from 1 species